UUUCGGGGUUCCUGGGUGUCGUGCAGAUCUCGGUGGAACCUCCAAAUGAAAGAACCUAGUGGGGAAACCCCCACUCACGUCCUGAGGUGGCGUGCACCCAAGGAAUCAUGAGAGACC
rnacentral:pre_miRNA from 7 species